rnacentral:rRNA from 1 species
GACGAACGCUGGCGGCGUGCUUAACACAUGCAAGUCGAACGGAAAGGCCCUGCUUUUGUGGGGUGCUCGAGUGGCGAACGGGUGAGUAACACGUGAGUAACCUGCCCUUGACUUUGGGAUAACUUCAGGAAACUGGGGCUAAUACCGGAUAGGAGCUCCUGCUGCAUGGUGGGGGUUGGAAAGUUUCGGCGGUUGGGGAUGGACUCGCGGCUUAUCAGCUUGUUGGUGAGGUAGUGGCUUACCAAGGCUUUGACGGGUAGCCGGCCUGAGAGGGUGACCGGCGACCUUGGGACUGAGAUACGGCCCAGAAGCCUACGGGAGGCAGCAGUGGGGAAUAUUGCAGAAUGGGCGGAAGCCUGAUGCAGCAACGCCGCGUGCGGGAUGACGGCCUUCGGGUUGUAAACCGCUUUCGCCUGUGACGAAGCGUGAGUGACGGUAAUGGGUAAAGAAGCACCGGCUAACUACGUG